rnacentral:rRNA from 1 species
CAGAGGAUGGGUCUGCGGCCUAUCAGGUAGUAGUGGGUGUAGCGUACCUACUAGCCUACGACGGGUACGGGUUGUGAGAGCAAGAGCCCGGAGAUGGAUUCUGAGACACGAAUCCAGGCCCUACGGGGUGCAGCAGGCGCGAAAACUUUACAAUGCCGGCAACGGCGAUAAGGGGACCUCGAGUGCCAGGUUACAAAUCUGGCUGUCGUGAUGCCUAAAAAGCAUUGCAUAGCAAGGGCCGGGCAAGACCGGUGCCAGCCGCCGCGGUAACACCGGCGGCUCGAAUGGUAACCGUUAUUAUUGGGUCUAAAGGGUCUGUAGCCGGCCGGAUAAGUCUCUUGAGAAAUCCAGCAGCUCAACUGUUGGGCUUUCAGGAGAUACUGUUCGGCUCGAGGCCGGGAGAGGUGAGAGGUACUUCAGGGGUAGGGGUGAAAUCUUGUAAUCCUUGAAGGACCACCAGUGGCGAAGGCGUCUCACCAGAACGGACCUGACGGCAAGGGACGAAAGCUAGGGGCACGAACCGGAUUAGAUACCCGGGUAGUCCUAGCCGUAAACGAUACUCGCUAGGUGUCGGCCACGGUGCGACCGUUGUCGGUGCCGUAGGGAAGCCGUGAAGCGAGC